rnacentral:lncRNA from 1 species
AAACAUUGACAUUGAACCAUAUAUGUGAUAAUCAAACGUUCUGCCACUUAUUGACACUUAAUGACAACCAUGAGAUAAAGAAGUAAGCAAAAAAACUGCUCUCGAUUCACCAAACAAUUACUGUCUCAUGACUUACUUAGUACUAACAAUGUUUCUUAAAAAAACUGCAGAGAACAGAGCUACAGCGGGUUCACCGGAUCUAAUGCUCCGGCCACCGUGCAGUCGUCCAUCAGCAGGGUUCGAUCCUUCAAAUCUGUCUCCGGCAAAUUUCUUAUUAGGCUUUUUUGUA